AUCGCUUCUCGGCUUUAUGACUAAGAUCAAAGUGUAGUAUCUGUUCUUAUCAGCUUAACAUCUCCAUCGGAGGACAAUAUCGACGGAUGACAUGAGUCAGAGUCGUUAUUUCAAUUAUAUAUAUUUAUAUAUUAAUUUAA
rnacentral:snRNA from 12 species